CACAGUUUAACUGGUUGUGCGCACCCGCUCCAGGGCCUUGACGGCCGCACCCAGACAGCGCCCCGCCCCCGGGGACUCCAACCCCCCAUAGAUCCAGACAUCGGACUGGGGUCCCUUGGGGGUGCUCUUACAGGUGCCCACCCCCACCAGCCACACGGGCUGCCACCCUACGAGGGAGCGUGGGCCCUGCGAGCCCUCUUGCCCGCCCCCCACUUCCCGCAAACCCAGUGGCAGGAUGAUUGAUUUUUCGGGAAGAGCAGCCCCGAGGGUGGGGGUGGGGAGCCGGGGCGCCAGGGGAUCCUCGCUCCAUUUGCCUGUGGCUCUGAGUCAAAGCCAGGUCCCUCUGGGCGCGGUGUGAGGUGUUCCCCUGCCACUUGGCGGCCUGCGAGGAGCAGGGAGGGCCAUGCUGCCUUCCUCCGUGUCUACAAACUUUCCAAGAUUGUCACCACCUCUAAAUAGCAAAUAUUCCUGUCAUCUAUCUAGAAAGACUUUGCUGCCUCUGUGUUUUGGAAGCUUUGUCUGUAAGUUCUCACCAACCAGUCCAACAACUACAAUAGUUCCUUGCCCGACUUCUCCCAGAAUUUUCUGGAAGCACAGCUUUCUUUUGGUUGCAGUUUCAACUGCAUGCAAAGAGGGGGGCCUGGGUGAGAGUGGAUUGAACCCAGGGCUUUGCACAUGCUAGGCAAGGGCUCUACCACUGAGACACAUUCCUUUUGUAUUCUGUUUACUUUACUUUGAAACAGCCUCACUACAUAGGCUCAGAAUGAGAUCAUCCUGCCUCAGCCUCCCUGGUAGCUGGAAUUACAGAUCACAUCUGGCUUGACUUAUGAUACCUCAUUGGGCUUUUGUCAAUCUUACCUCAUUGCUUGGAAUCUUGGGUUCAUCACCUGUGGAACACACUGUGGAGCUAGUGUUGGAAAAUGCUGACCACAGUCAUCAAAAAUCACGCUCAUCCUGAUUUUCAAAGUGUUGCAGUUUCACAUUCCUUGCAAAAGAUCUGGGAAAUAUAACAAGGAACAAAAAAGAAUGUUUUUGUCUUUCAAUAUCUCAUCACCUAGAAGGAGCCACUGUUCAGAUUUUUUUUUUUUUUUUUGUACCAGUGAUUGAACUCAGGGCCUUGCACUUGUGAGGCAGGCAUUGGCACCACUAAGCUAAAUCCCCAUCCCACUGUUAAGGUUUUGAUCCCCUCCUUUUCUCAGUACUGGGGAUUAGAGUCAGGGCCUUUCAUCCACUAGGCAAGUGCUCUACCACUGAGCUGAGCCCCUAGCCCGCGUCUUUUUUUGACAAAUGUGCAGGGAAUAGGAGAAGUAUAAAAAUAUAUAAAUCUGAGCUGGGCAUGGUGGCACAUGCCUGUAAUCCCAGCAUUUGGGAGACUGAGACAGGAGGAUCACAAGUUCAAGACCAGCCUGGGCUACUUAGCGAGACCUUGUCUAAAAAAAGACUGGGGACUCGUAGCUCAGUUCCUAGGUCCUGAGUUUGAACCCAGUGCUGGGGAAGAGGGAAGGAAACCUGAAUUGGGAUCAUGUAUUUCUGUAUUGUGCUUUUUCUGCAUGUUUAUGAAUUAAUACAUAUGGAAGAAGAUAUAUAUUCAGCUUAUAGACCAA
ensembl:lincRNA